rnacentral:rRNA from 1 species
CGUAGGUGCGAGCGUUGUCCGGAAUUACUGGGCGUAAAGAGCUCGUAGGCGGUUUGUCGCGUCGUCUGUGAAAUUCUGCAACUCAAUUGCAGGCGUGCAGGCGAUACGGGCAGACUUGAGUACUACAGGGGAGACUGGAAUUCCUGGUGUAGCGGUGAAAUGCGCAGAUAUCAGGAGGAACACCGGUGGCGAAGGCGGGUCUCUGGGUAGUAACUGACGCUGAGGAGCGAAAGCGUGGGAGCGAACAGGAUU